CCCUUAGAUGUUCUGGGCCGCACGCGCGCUACACUGACAAAGCCAACGAGUGACUUGUCCUGUGCCGAAAGGCCCGGGUAAUCUUCUGAAACUUUGUCGUGCUGGGGAUAGUCCUUUGUAAUUUUCGGACUUGAACGAGGAAUUCCUAGUAAGCACGAGUCAUCAGCUCGUGCUGAUUACGUCCCUGCCCUUUGUACACACCGCCCGUCGCUACUACCGAUUGAAUGGCUUAGUGAGGCCCUCGGAUUGCGGCCGCGUCCUUUGCGGGAUGCGGCGGCGAGAAGUUGGUCAAACUUGGUCAUUUAGAGGAAGUAAAAGUCGUAACA
rnacentral:rRNA from 1 species